ensembl:snRNA U6 U6 spliceosomal RNA
GUGCUCACCCUGGCAACACAUAUACUAAAAGUUGGAAUGAUACAGUGAAGAUUAGUAUGGCCCCAUGCAAGGGUUAUAUGCAAAUUCAUAAAGUGUUCUGUAUUUCA